GAUGAACGCUGGCGGCGUGCCUAAUACAUGCAAGUCGAGCGAAUGGAUUAAGAGCUUGCUCUUAUGAAGUUAGCGGCGGACGGGUGAGUAACACGUGGGUAACCUGCCCAUAAGACUGGGAUAACUCCGGGAAACCGGGGCUAAUACCGGAUAACAUUUUGAACCGCAUGGUUCGAAAUUGAAAGGCGGAUUCGGCUGUCACUUAUGGAUGGACACGCGUCGCAUUAGCUAGUUGGUGAGGUAACGGCUCACCAAGGCAACGCUGCGUAGCCGACCUGAGAGGGUGGUCGGCCACACUGGGACUGAGACACGGCCCAGACUCCUACGGGAGGCAGCAGUAGGGAAUCUUCCGCAAUGGACGAAAGUCUGACGGAGCAACGCCGCGUGAGUGAUGAGGGCUUUCGGGUCGUAAAACUCUGUUGUUAGGGAAGAACAAGUGCUAGUUGAAUAAGCUGGCACCUUGACGGUACCUAACCAGAAAGCCACGGCUAACUACGUGCCAGCCGCCGCGGUAA
rnacentral:rRNA from 1 species